GGCGGUCCAGAUCCUGGGCCUCUCCCACUCUGCAGCGGGGAGGAGGGGUCGGCGGGGAGUAGAGACGGGUCGCCCCCGCUCGAGCCCUUCCCCGUCUUUCUGCCGCCGGAGUGGACCAGCAGACAGUGUGGGAGAGCGCUGGGAAGGAAGGUUGGCGGAGUUAUACUCCAGACGGACGGGUUCAGGCCCCGCGCGCCACACUCGGCCACACUUGGCGUGUAGUGUGGACCCGGUGGGCCUCUGCCCUCGCCACCGGCUGACUUCUCUGUCCAGCCGCUAGGUCGACCAGAUGUCAGCCCCAAGGUCCUGCCUACAGAGACCUUGUGACAUAUCCCUGCACCCAUAACACAGGAGGGGAUUGUAGCAUAUUCCCAAUGGAGCACCAAGGUGAUGUGACACUGCUGCCUGGUCCCUGCCCUCAGAGAAGAUUGUGACAUAUCACUGCCCCAAAACCCAGGUGUGAUUGUGACAUACACCUCUGCCCAGGACCUGAGUGAUUUGACUCUUCUGCUUGGGCCCAGCAUACAGAUGGGAUUGUGCCACAUUGCUGGACCCAGCACUUAGGUGAUGAGAUAAUUGUAACAAAUCCCUGGCUAAGCACCCAGGUGAUGUGACACUCCUGCUUGACUCCUUCCCUCAGAGAAGAUUAUGAGAUAUCCAUGGCUGAAAUCCAGGGGGAAUUGUGACAUAUCACUUGGUCCAGUACCAAGCAAGUGUGACUCUUCUAUUCAUCAUAAGUUCUGCUUUCAAGGGAGAUUGGGACAUAUUGUGGGACUCAACACCAAUGUGACAUUACUGUUUUGCCUUGGCCCAGACCUUAAAGGCACUGUGACAUAUUGCUCGGACCAGCAAUAUGUCUCUCCCAGAGAGAGGUCCUGUGUGGACACUGACAACAGAGAGCAUUGUGACAUAUCUUUGGGAGCAUCAACUAUUUGAUGUGACUCUCCUUUUAUACCAAGGUUUUGCUUAUAGGGGAGAUCGUGAUGUAUCUUUUGGCCCAGAAAUCAGGUGAUGUGUUUCUCCUGCCUGAGCUUUGCUCACAGGGAGCAUUGUGACAUAUCACUGGGCCCAGCACCCAGGUGAUGGGACUCUACUGCCUGUCCCCUGCUUUUAGGAGGAAAUUGUAACAUAUCUCUGACCAAGCACCCAGGUGAUAACUCUUCUGCCUGGUCCCUGUUCUCAGGGAAGAUUGUGACACAUCCCUGGCCCAGCACCCAGAUGAUGCAGAUGAUAUAACUCUCCUUCCUGCUCAUUCUCUAUCCACAGGUUCUGCCCACAAAGGAGAUUGUGACAUACUGCUGUGCCUAACACUAAGGUGAUGUUAAUUCUCUGCUUUGACUAUGUCCUUAGAAGGCAUUGAGACACACUGCUGGGCCCAGCACCAAGAUGAUGUGAGUCCUGUGCCUGAACCCUGACCAGAGGUAGCAUUGUGACAUAUUUAUUGACCCAUUGCAAUCUCUCCUAUGGACAAAGCCCAGGUUGGAUUGUGACAUAUACUUUAGCCCAGCUCACAGUUGUGAUGAUGACACUAAUACCACAAAUCAGCCAGUAGGAGAGAUACUGGCACUUGUAGCUAAACUUAGAGAAACAGGUUAUGCAACUCUCCUUGCUGGGUCCUGCCUACAGGAGGCAUUAUGAUCUAUCUGUGUAUCCAUCAUCCAGGUGUUAUGACUCUCAUCUUUUCACUGGAACCUGCCAAGAAGGGUGAUUGUGACAUAUCACUGGACCCAGCACCUUGGUGAUGUGACUCUCCUCUCCUCUUGGGCCCUGCAUACAUUGUGUCUAUGGAAAUAUAGCUGGUCCAACACCUAGAUUGAUGACAAUCAGAUUCACUUAGAGUGGAAAAAAUAUGUUGGCCCUUAUAAAAUAGUCAUUAGAAGGCCUAUUGCAUAAUAGAACCUCAUGUGUCUUCUGUUACUAAAGUCUAACAUUACUAAAUUCAACAAGGCUUUAAUGCAUUAUGGCAAAGCACAUUUUCACCAGGUGAAGAAAGCCUUUACUAGUCUACUGACUGAGGAGAGUAAAACCCUUUAUAAUCAAGGAUCCAGAGAUUGAAUCUGCCUGCCACCUACACUGACGCAAGACUUCAAGACCUUGAACAUUGGAUUGAUAAUCUCACAACUUAGAAGGGCUCCUCCAAACUCUUGCAAUUGUAAACCCAUAGGAGAUUUGAAGGUAAAGCUAACCAGGGAAGUUUGUCCUCAAAAGCAGAUGGCCGUCUCCAUGUAGAUAGCUUUUUUCACAAGAUCAAAAAUCAAGACAUCUCGUUAUCAUGACAGUGUUAGUUCACAGUUUGUUUAUGGUUCUACAAACAACAGAAAUUUUAAAAAGUGGUCUCGUGUGCACUCAUGGGGUUAUACUUAUAUGUAGAGAAUUUUGCAGCCAACAUUAUAUAUGAGGAAACUUAUUCCUUGAAAGGUAAAAGAAGAAGGGCCAAUGUAGGUGAGAAGUUUUAAUGAAACAGUUGUUUUCUCACAAUAUUAAAAACAGAAUAUUGGUCCACUGCUCUUAACCUAUUUCAUAAGUUAAAAAGAACUUAUUCAGAAUAGGUUAAAGAGCGUUGCCAGGAGGCCAUUACUCUUCUGAAUGGUUAUCAUUGUUUAGAGUAAAUGAGGCAACGGUUACAAAAUGUAUCCCUCUCAAUAGGGCUCUUUAGCAGAUUAUACCAUAAAGGCUAUGCUUACACAAUAGACUUUAAAUUUUCUCACAAAGUUGUGCUAAAUAUAAUUUCUUUUGAUUACUUACUGGAUAAAUAGAUAUCUGUGCAGUUGCUAAUAGUUGCCCAUGGAGAACUACAGCAGGUAUUACAGAGAUGCAGUUGUAGAUGAUUCAUGAACAGGCUAAUUAGAUGAAAUGAGUAGGCCAUUUUUCUAGCUAAUUAUUUGAUCUAUUUAAUUUUAACUGGUUGUUCAUGGGGACCCUGGCUAAAAAGCAUGCUUCAAACUCUUGGUAUUAUCCUCCUGAUAGUCAAAAUGGUAAUCUUCCUACUGUACUGUGUUCUCUCAACAGAUAUAAACGUUUGAAUGUAGUCAUCUGUAGAAUGUCAAAUGGUCUCUCUUUAACUGGAAUGACAGAAACUCAAAGACAUAUGUGACUAUGAAGACACCACAACCUAUGAAUGACAUGCUAAGGACAAAAAACAAAAAUAAUGGAAACUGAGAGUUGCACUAAAGCCCCGAGUUUUGGUCACACUGUGACCUACGUAAGAACUUAACCAAAUGGGGAAUUUUUUAAAGAAAACUAUUGGAGGCCAUAAUUCUGGACUGAUCUUAUGCACUAGGUCCAAACAAACCAAACCAAAAUGAGUCACUCAUGCUAGAUGUGACAUAAUUAAACUAAAAAUUUAAGGCAAUAGGUAGAUUCUAAAACUGGCCAGGUUUUGUUUUUCUUCUGUAAAUAGCAGAUUUCAACACAAGGAGGUCCCCUGUACUCUAACGCUUUAAAAAACAAAUAAAAAUAAUUUCAAAAUAAUAAGCUGAAGUUUUUAUUUCCACUUUACAAACCCACAGUUCUGCUAUUUCAUAGUGGGAUUUGAGUCUAAAUAAGUACAUUUUUGAUGGUGACAAAAUGAUAUUAAUGUCUAAAGUUUUGGUCUCAAACUUGAGAAGAUGACAAAAGGGAGAAAUUGUUAAAUUAGUUAUAGCCUAAAGCUUCCCUGUUAUGUUUAAUUUUGGCUAAUAGGAUUUGUUUUUUGUUUUUUUUUGGUUUUUUUUGCAUAGUAAACUUAAUAUUCAAAUAGGACAAAUCUUAAGCUGUAAUAAAUCUGGCUGUUUCUGUACCUCA
rnacentral:lncRNA from 1 species